rnacentral:lncRNA from 1 species
CAGAUGACAAGAAGCCUGAGGAUUGGGAUGAGAGGGCAAAGAUUCCUGACCCUGAUGCAGUAAAACCUGACGACUGGGAUGAGGAUGCUCCGAUGGAAAUUGAAGAUGAGGAUGCUGUGAAACCUGAAGGAUGGCUGGAUGAUGAGCCUGAGGAGAUAGAUGACCCUGAGGCCACAAAACCUGAGGAUUGGGAUGAUGAGGAGGAUGGUGAAUGGGAGGCCCCAAAGAUUGAUAACCCAAAGUGUGAAGCAGCCCCUGGAUGCGGCGAGUGGAAGAGGCCAAUGAAGAGGAAUCCUGCCUACAAGGGCAAAUGGCAUGCUCCACUUAUU